UUUGACCUCAAAUCAGGUAGGAUUACCCGCUGAACUUAAGCAUAUCAAUAAGCGGAGGAAAAGAAACUAACAAGGAUUCCCCUAGUAACUGCGAGUGAAGCGGGAAAAGCUCAAAUUUAAAAUCUGGCAGUCUCUCUUUUUUUCUUUGGCUGUCCGAGBUGUAAUC
rnacentral:rRNA from 1 species